rnacentral:misc_RNA from 1 species
UGCCCUUCUUCUGCGAGCCCAGCGGUUGAGUCUAUCGCCCAGUGGAGAUGAAUGAAACGUGUGGGUGCCGGUCCAAUUCUCCUUGGCGCACGUGACCGACAUGCACGCAGCCACCAGCCACGUGCAUAACGGAGACGAGAAGGAAGCUGACGCCAUCAUCUCUCGCUUUACAGAUAGUUAAAAUCGAAUAAAUACAAGAAAGAUUCAGAAGAAGAAGAAAGAAAUGCUAAUCUAAAUAUGGAGAAUCAGAAUCAGAGAAGAAUGAAU